rnacentral:rRNA from 1 species
CCUGGCUCAGGAUGAACGCUAGCGGGAGGCCUAACACAUGCAAGCCGAGCGGUAUUGUUUCUUCGGAAAAUGAGAGAGCGGCGUACGGGUGCGGAACACGUGUGCAACCUACCUUUAUCUGGAGGAUAGCCUUUCGAAAGGAAGAUUAAUACUCCAUAAUAUAUUGACUGGCAUCAGUUGAUAUUGAAAGCUCCGGCGGAUAAAGAUGGGCACGCGCAAGAUUAGCUAGUUGGUGAGGUAACGGCUCACCAAGGCGAUGAUCUUUAGGGGCCUGAGAGGGUGAUCCCCCACACUGGUACUGAGACACGGACCAGACUCCUACGGGAGGCAGCAGUGAGGAAUAUUGGUCAAUGGGUGCAAGCCUGAACCAGCCAUCCCCGCGUGAAGGACGACUGCCCUAUGGGUUGUAAACUUCUUUUGUAUAGGGAUAAACCUACUCUCGUGAGGGUAGCUGAAGGUACUAUACGAAUAAGCACCGGCUAACUCCGUG